GAUGAACGCUGGCGGCGUGCCUAAUACAUGCAAGUCGAGCGAACAGAUGAGGAGCUUGCUCCUCUGACGUUAGCGGCGGACGGGUGAGUAACACGUGGAUAACCUACCUAUAAGACUGGGAUAACUUCGUGAAACCGGAGCUAAUACCGGAUAAUAUAUUGAACCGCAUGGUUCAAUAGUGAAAGACGGUUUUGCUGUCACUUAUAGAUGGAUCCGCGCCGCAUUAGCUAGUUGGUAAGGUAACGGCUUACCAAGGCAACGAUGCGUAGCCGACCUGAGAGGGUGAUCGGCCACACUGGAACUGAGACACGGUCCAGACUCCUACGGGAGGCAGCAGUAGGGAAUCUUCCGCAAUGGGCGAAAGCCUGACGGAGCAACGCCGCGUGAGUGAUGAAGGUCUUCGGAUCGUAAACCUCUGUUAUUGGGGAAGAACAAAUGUGUAAGUAACUAUGCACGUCUUGACGGUACCUAAUCAGAAAGCCACGGCUAACUACGUG
rnacentral:rRNA from 1 species